rnacentral:rRNA from 1 species
UACGGAGGGGGCUAGCGUUGUUCGGAAUUACUGGGCGUAAAGCGCACGUAGGCGGCUUUGUAAGUUAGAGGUGAAAGCCCCAGAGCUCAACUCUGGAACUGCCUUUAAGACUGCAUCGCUUGAAUCAUGGAGAGGUUAGUGGAAUUCCGAGUGUAGAGGUGAAAUUCGUAGAUAUUCGGAAGAACACCAGUGGCGAAGGCGACUAACUGGACAUGUAUUGACGCUGAGGUGCGAAAAGCGUGGGGAGCAAACAGG